rnacentral:tmRNA from 1 species
GGGGGCGAAAAGGUUUCGACCGGAUGACGGAGGGCUGUGGUCGCGCGCCGAGGUUGCACGGAGGCCUCGUAAAACACCGGGCAACGUCUUAACUGCGAACUCUCACGAGUACGCUCUCGCUGCCUAACGGAAGUUAGCUCCAGCGACGUGGAUUAUGGGGCCCUGCCUGUGGCGCCAUAUUCUGCGUAACCGAUACAGGCUGGUCUGCCGGG